AUUGAACGCCGGUGGCAGGCUUAACACAUGCAAGUCGAACGGUAACAGGAAUUAGCUUGCUAAUUUGCUGACGAGUGGCGGACGGGUGAGUAAUGCUUGGGAAUCUGGCUUAUGGAGGGGGAUAACUACGGGAAACUGUAGCUAAUACCGCGUAAAAUCUUCGGAUUAAAGGGUGGGACUUUCGAGCCACCUGCCAUAAGAUGAGCCCAAGUGGGAUUAGGUAGUUGGUUAGGUAAAGGCUGACCAAGCCGACGAUCUCUAGCUGGUCUGAGAGGAUGACCAGCCACACUGGAACUGAGACACGGUCCAGACUCCUACGGGAGGCAGCAGUGGGGAAUAUUGCACAAUGGGGGGAACCCUGAUGCAGCCAUGCCGCGUGAAUGAAGAAGGCCUUCGGGUUGUAAAGUUCUUUCGGUGACGAGGAAGGUUGAUAGGUUAAUAGCCUAUCAAAUUGACGUUAAUCACAGAAGAAGCACCGGCUAACUCCGUG
rnacentral:rRNA from 1 species